rnacentral:rRNA from 1 species
UACGAAGGGGGCUAGCGUUGCUCGGAAUCACUGGGCGUAAAGGGCGCGUAGGCGGCCGAUUAAGUCGGGGGUGAAAGCCUGUGGCUCAACCACAGAAUUGCCUCGAUACUGGUUGGCUUGAGACCGGAAGAGGACAGCGGAACUGCGAGUGUAGAGGUGAAAUUCGUAGAUAUUCGCAAGAACACCAGUGGCGAAGGCGGCUGUCUGGUCCGGUUCUGACGCUGAGGCGCGAAAGCGUGGGGAGCAAACAGGG